rnacentral:lncRNA from 1 species
CAAACUGACCCUCCUUCCCUGGAAAUGUUAGUGCAUCUGCUUCUGUUCCUCUCCAACCAUCCUGUCUGAACAGUUGGUGACUUGAUGCCUAUAGAGCCUCCCCUGGCCUCUCCUUCCUUCAAGGUUCACAAUAAUCUGGCCCUUCACUCACCUCCACUGUCCUCCUGGUGGUCAGAUCUCACUUGGUGGCUUUGGGAUUACCCACAGCUGUGCCCUCCACCAUCCUCAGUUUCCAACAAUUCCAACAAUACUGUUCGUAGCUCAUUGCUCUGAACAUGCUGUCUUCUCACCUCCCCCUUGCCCUCUCUUCCCUCAUGUCCAUGCUCAAUUCCACG